rnacentral:miRNA from 1 species
UGAGGCAGGAGAAUUGCUUGAACCCAGGAGGUGGAGGCUGCAGUGAGCCGAGAUCGCGCCACUGCACUCCAGCCAGGCUGACAGAGCGAGACCCCAGCUCA